rnacentral:misc_RNA from 1 species
GACACCCAAUGCUCAGAGUGUGUUUAAAAUUCUUGCAGAAUAUCAACGAUCACACACUGAAGAAGAAGGCAAGUAACUACUUAUGGUUUGGAUCAUUAUGUUUCAUAUAAAGUCUUAUAUGUUCCAUUUCAUUUGUGAAACAUAUAUUAUGUCUUAUAUGUUCCAUUUCACUUGUCAUUCUCUGGCAUGCCUUUUGAUAAUCUAUAU